UCCUGAAUCUGACCUGGUCCUGUCCUGAAUCUGACCUGGUGCUGUCCUGAAUCUGACCUGGUCCUGUCCUGAUUCUGACCUGGUCCUGUCCUGAAUCUGACCUGGUCCUGUCCUGAAUCUGACCUGGUCCUGUCCUGAAUCUGACCUGGUGCUGUCCUGAAUCUGACCUGGUGCUGUCCUGAAUCUGACCUGGUGCUGUCCUGAAUCUGACCUCGUGCUGUCCUGAAUCUGACCUGGUCCUGUCCUGAUUCUGACCUGGUCCUGUCCUGAAUCUGACCUGGUCCUGUCCUGAAUCUGACCUGGUGCUGUCCUGAAUCUGACCUGGUCUGGUCCUGAAUCUGACCUGGUCCUGUCCUGAAUCUAACCUGGUGCUGUCCUGAAUCUGACCUGGUGCUGUCCUGAAUCUGACCGGGUGCUGUCCUGAAUCUGACCUGGUGCUGUCCUGAAUCUGACCUGGUGCUGUCCUGAAUCUGACCUGGUGCUGUCCUGAAUCUGACCUGGUGCUGUCCUGAAUCUGACCUGGUGCUGUCCUGAAUCUGACCUGGUGCUGUCCUGAAUCUGACCUGGUGCUGUCCUGAAUCUGACCUGGUCCUGUCCUGAAUCUGACCUGGUCCUGUCCUGAAUCUGACCUGGUGCUGUCCUGAAUCUGACCUGGUGCUGUCCUGAAUCUGACCUGGUCCUGUCCUGAAUCUGACCUGGUCCUGUCCUGAAUCUGACCUGGUGCUGUCCUGAAUCUGACCUGGUCCUGUCCUGAAUCUGACCUGGUGCUGUCCUGAAUCUGACCUGGUGCUGUCCUGAAUCUGACCUGGUGCUGUCCUGAAUUUGACCUGGUCCUAUCCUAAAUCUGACUUGGUGCUGUCCUGAAACUGACCUGGUCCUGUCCUGAAUCUGACCUGGUCCUGUCCUAAUCUAACCUGGUGCUGUCCUGAAUCGGACCUGGUGCUGUCCUGAAUCUGACCUGGUCCUGUCUGAAUCUGACCUGGUCCUGAAUCUGGCCUGGUCCUGUCCUGAUUCUGAUCUGGUCCUGCCCUGAACCUGACCUGGUCCUGUCCUGAAUCUGUGUUGUCUGUUCUACUGAUGUCCUCCUCCAUCAGGUUGCUAAGGAGCAGGGGGCGGAGAUUUCAUCAGAGCACGACCCAAUCAGAGAGCCGGGCUGGUACCUGAGCAGGAAGUUGCGUCAGCGUCUGUGGGAGGAGCAUGAUGUGCAGGGCUUGACCGUGGUUCAGUUCCUGGGGGACUCUGUCCUCAUCCCUGCCGGGGCGCUGCACCAGGUGCAGAACCUUCACAGUUGUGUCCAGGUGAUAAAUGACUUUGUGUCUCCAGAGCAUGUAUUCCACUCCUUCCACCUGACACAGGAACUGAGAUCCUCAGAGAAGAGCCCAACUACGAAGAUAAACUACAGGUAAAGAACAUCUUGUUCCACUCUGUGAAGGAUGCAUUGACGUCGCUGAGGAGGUACAGCCAGGAGGAGGAAGAGAACUCCUGACCCGUAGUCUCUCUGGCUCCUCCCUAUCUGGCUCCUCCCUCUCUGGCGCCACCCUCUCUGGCGCCAACCUCUCUGAGACAUCUUCCUUCAGCCUGGAACAGAUAUAUACACACUGACACUAACCACAACAGCAGAACACACUACAACACACUAAAACUACAUGUUACUGACCAGCAUCGCUACACAGCAUCAGGAUACUGACCAGCAUCAGGAUACUGACCACAACAGCAUCAAUACCCAGCAUCAGGAUACUAACCACAGCAGCAUCAGGAUACUGACCACAGCAGCAUCAGGAUACUGACCACAGCAGCAUCAGGAUACUGACCACAGCAGCAUCAGGAUACUGACCACAGCAGCAUCACCACCACAGCAUCAGGAGAACUGAGUUCAGUAGAAUCUGUUCUCACAGCUCUGACUGCUGUUCUGGAACCUUCUGUUCUCACAGCUCUGACUGCUGUUCUGGAACCUUCUGUUCUCACAGCUCUGACUGCUGUUCUGGAACCUUCUGUUCUCACAGCUCUGACUGCUGUUCUGGAACCUUCUGUUCUCACACCUCUGACUGCUGUUCUGGAACCUUCUGUUCUCAC